UACGUAGGGUGCUAGCGUUGUCCGGAAUCAUUGGGCGUAAAGCGCGUGUAGGCGGUCCGGUAAGUCCGCUGUGAAAGUCGAGGGCUCAACCCUCGAAUGCCGGUGGAUACUGUCGGGCUUGAGUACGGGAGAGGCGAGUGGAAUUCCUGGUGUAGCGGUGAAAUGCGCAGAUAUCAGGAGGAACACCGAUUGCGAAGGCAGCUCGCUGGAACGUUACUGACGCUGAGACGCGAAAGCGUGGGGAGCAAACAGG
rnacentral:rRNA from 1 species